GUAUAAUCUUUGAGGACAAAGGGGGAGAUUAGUAUGGCCGCAAAUAAUUCUUGUAUCUAGAAAUCUCCAAACCUUAUCAAGUUUUUGAAUACUGUGACAUAAGCCGUGUUUUCUUACAUUGCUGUCACAGUUAGUGUUUCACUUAUGCUGUACGGACGUCAAUGCUAAAGAUUACUUCCUCAUCUUAAACUUUGCUAGAAUUUUCACUUUUGAGACUUGUUGUAGGUUUCUAUCUGUGUGUGCUUUCUAACAAAAUAUGUAGAAUUCUCACACUGGUCUCUAGUGAGUUUUAAGUUCCUCUUUUCAAUAUAUCACGAAUUUUUAUUAUUUCAUCAUUCGCUUCAGCUAUAUAAUUGAAGACUUAACUAUAUUUAACAAUUUCUUUUGACAUAGCCAGUUGCUUUUUUACACACCAGUACAUAUAUAGCAGUAAAAUACCUUUUUUACACCACCACAAAAUUCCUAAUACUGAUACGCACCACUCCAGAAAACCUCUAAACUCCAUUCCCAUCUUCCUUUCUCUAGAUCUCUGAUGAAUGACACAGAAGCUGAAAUAGAAAAGCUCAGAAGAUUUCAGGGAGAGGUGGAUUUGUCAGAGACUGCAAGGAACUUUUUAGCUUGGCAAGAAAGGUUACGAGUUGCUGAUCUUAAAAAUAGCUUAACCCUGAGAAAAUGAGGCGCAAUGGGAACCACAGCGCUGCAUAGGGUGUCCGGUACAAAUUUGGCAGAAUACCGACUCACUUUUGAUGCAAGGCAUGUAGUUCGGGAAAUCAUUAAAUGUUUCUUUUAUCUAUUUGACAAAAUGGAAGUUCCUGUGUCGCUGAUUAACCAAGACAAAAUACAAAUCAGGCGUGAUAGGACUAUAUGGGUAGCUGGACUGGUAACACAGUCGUUGUCAGAUGAUUUGCGGAAUGAAGCGAUAAACAAACUGCACGACAUCAUACGUAGCUUUGUGGGGGAAAAUCUAGCCAACGUUGUUGAGCAUUUGUUGGAAUGCCUGGAAGAGUCAAAGACUAUAGAUUACAUGAAAGUGGUAGCAUUGAUGCAUCCUAGCAUGUAUGUUAAUGGUAGAUUUGAAGUAUUUAUUUACUACAUGUAUCAAUUGUACAUGUGCAAUGGAAACAAUACCAGUGAGCUGGCCUAGUUCAAGACUUAUCACUUCUUCUAUACCACCUUAUUGCAACCCUGAAGCACAGUAGGUGAAUAGAAUAAGGAAUGAUGCAAGUGGUGGUGCAGUGUGGAAUGAACUCCUCAACUUAACCAUCGAAGAAAUUGGACAGUUUCAUCAGGAUUUUGAUACUCCCAUUGGCAUACUGAUUCUUCUGGGAAGUGCGGUGGUACGCGCCGGUGAAUCAUCAUGUAAUACUGGCCGUCAAGUUUGCUUUGAAGAUGUGGGGAACGAAAUGAUAUCCGGCGAGUAUUUCAAAGAGACAUGGACGUUCUGGCCAUAUUCGUGAGAAGUUUUGCUAUGGAGUAGCAACAAAAGGCCAGAGAUGAUACGUAUUGCAGUUUUCUGUUUGUUUCUAUGUCUAGGUUUUUGUGAAUGUUAUCUGGUUUAGGUGACUAUAUAUCAUAGUUAUUUCUGUCAAGUGUAGUACAUAUGGAAUACUUUUGGUGCUUCGAAGUUUCUUAUCCCUGCAUUGAGAUUCUGCACUGUUAAGCUCAUAAAGUGGGAAGAAAAAAGACAUUGAAAUCUUAAGAGGAAGCAUUUAAGUUUUUGAUUUGCCUUAUUAGUGCUUUCUGGCUCUGGAGGGAUAUGCAGUCCCCAUUCUGUUCAAGGAGAAUUUCGCGAGAUGCAUUGGCAAGCCAAGCCUUAGCUCGUCUUCAUAGAUGAAAUGGAUGGUCAGUCCUCACGGAGAUUCUAGCUUUGUGCUACCCUUCCUCCAUAUUAUGUUGUGGUGGGAUCAACUAAUAUGCAGCUUCUGUCCCUCCAGACAUAUGUUCUUCAAUAUUUUCUUUAUUUCAUUCUCUUUUUUCCGUGGAUGUGAACAAAUCAGUGUUUCUUAUAUGUUGAUAAAAAGUUCUGUUAGUGCUUUCUUUGUAGCCCUUACUAAGCAAAUUAUACGCCAUGAUAUAUACUAUUUUCCUUCAAGGGUAUGCGACUGAGAUAGCUAGCUCCUUAUAGUGAAUGCAUUUACAAGCUGUAUAGGUCCAGUGUCAUGGUGGAUAAUGUGUAAGCAGGGUCAAUACAUGUAUUGGACUUGUGCUUUGCAGAAAUAGCACUGUCCACAGAGCUCAUGCCAGAGAAAGUGAGAAUUUUGCCGGCAUUUUCACAAGCAUGGAUGGGUGGACCAGAGGCAGAUUUAGGAUUUGAAGGUGGCAUACUGGUAUUGUUGAUGUCAUGGUUUACUUUGUAUGAGGAUAGUACCGAAUGGGGGUGUAUAAGUAAUAUUGAUAUUAAUUGUACGUGGUUUAGUCCGUUCAUAAAAGUAAUUUGUUGAAUUAUUUCUAGUAAAACCUCUUGAAUUGGCUAUUA